rnacentral:rRNA from 1 species
CACGUAGGGUGCGAGCGUUGUCCGGAAUUAUUGGGCGUCAAGAGCUCGUAGGCGGUGUGUCGCGUCGGCCGUGAAAACCUGCAGCUUAACUGUGGGCGUGCGGUCGAUACGGGCAUCACUGGAGUUCGGCAGGGGAGACUGGAAUUCCUGGUGUAGCGGUGAAAUGCGCAGAUAUCAGGAGGAACACCGGUGGCGAAGGCGGGUCUCUGGGCCGAUACUGACGCUGAGGAGCGAAAGCGUGGGGAGCGAACAGG